UACAGAGGGUGCAAGCGUUGUUCGGAAUCAUUGGGCGUAAAGGGCGUGUAGGCGGUCUGUUAAGUCAUGUGUGAAAUCCCUCGGCUCAACCGGGGAACGACGCAUGAAACUGACAAGCUAGAGUACCAAAGAGGGGGGUGGAAUUCCCGGUGUAGAGGUGAAAUUCGUAGAUAUUCGCAAGAACACCAGUGGCGAAGGCGGCUGACUGGUCCGGUUCUGACGCUGAGGCGCGAAAGCGUGGGGAGCAAACAGG
rnacentral:rRNA from 1 species